AGAAUAUAAUUUUUUUAAUAUGAUUUUUGUAUUGAGAUUUAAAAAAGUUGAUUUUUUUUUUAUUAGGAAGUUUGAAAAAAUUGUAAUGAUUAGAUAAAAAUGUUAAAAAUUUAAAAUUGAAAAAGAGUUCAAAGGUGUAGCACGAGAGAAUCAGAGAAUGAAAUGGAGAGAUGCUACCGACAAGGCCUAAUGAUUAUUUUUUUUUUUUAAAUCCCUUUAAACAAUUUUUUUUUUGCUAAAAAAAUCAUAACAUCAUAAAAAUACUUUCUUAAUUAUUAAGUAAACAUAAAAAAAUAAAAAUAAAAAUUGAAUCGGUAGGAUUUCUGUGGAGAAAUUUUAGGAGAAACCCUUAGUAGACUAAGCAUUAUCAAUUGAAAAAUAUUUGUAUUUGAAUAGUGUUUAGAUAUUGAGAUAAAAUGAUAUGAAUGAGAUGGGUUGAAAGAUUUGUGAAACCAAAUCAGACCUAACUAUCACGUCCAAGAUCAUCUCUUCUCUAGUUCUUCCAUAGAGGGGGGGUGUUUCCUCCACUGUUUUCCUUAGACUUUUGAGGAAAAACAAUGUGGUCAAGAACACGAUGCAAAACCCAAUUGGAAAGGUUUCUGGAUUUUUUUGAAAGCUGUCGUAUGGUUUAGAAUUAGUCCUUGAGCUGUACAACAAUUUGGUAGUUUACGAUUUUAUUAAUGGAGUGACUAGAGAACUUAAGAUGUCGAUCUAUUACAUCUGUAUAUACAGGGAAGAGAGAGAUUAAAGAAACUAAGAUAUGGGUGAUAGGGACGAGUCACAUAGAUGUAUGGGAGGAAAUAGAAAAAGAGGAAUAACAAUAAUCAAUGAUUGGAGUUUCUAUUCUCAAAUUAGAUGGAAAGCAAUUGAAGAAGCUAAAAAAAAAGUUGUAAAAUGUUAGUGAAUCGUCAAGAACCCAACAACAGACUUUAGCCUUAAAAUUGCAUGGCUCUACUCUAAAGAUCGUUUGCAUGCAACACUUUCUAAGUUGAAACUGACCCCUUACAUCUAUCGUGUGUAUAUAUACAUAUCUCUCUCAUAAACAUUAUAUGGUUUAAGAGCUCUUAUGGGUGAUUAAUAGCAACAAACCAAUGUCACCCAAAACAGAAAUUUAAGAGAUAAUGGAAAUCACGUUUUCCAAAGGAAAAAUGACAAAGAUUUAAGAAAGAGAGUCAUUUCCACAAAUUUCAAUUCAACAUGGCAUCUGUAGAUAGAAGUAGUUUUUCGUCUAAAUCCUCACAAGAUCUAAUCUUUUAUUGUAGAAUUGAAAAUGGAAGACAUAUAUAUGUAUAUAUAUAAUUAAUUUUGUAGAAAACUUGUCAUGUAAUAGUGGAGACAUUGUUGACAAAGUAUCAAUCAAAGUUACAGUGGGGCCGCUUCAUAAUCAUUCGACAUAGAGAAAUUAAAAUGGGGAAAAGUUCAGAGCCACAGGGGAGCUUCCACAGAUUCUCUCCCCUUAGAGCACUCACAUCUGCAUCAGAUGGUUUUUUCUAUAAUUUGAUGAAAGUUUUGUGGUUUUGGUUCAAAACAGCACUCCAUCCCAAUCUGUAAAAUGCCGUUGAAGUUUACGGUGUGUACAGAAAUGCCCCAUAUUUGGGUAAUGACUAUAUAUCCUCAAAUCACUUUUCCACUUCUUGUCCCACAUUUCUUUGUGCUGGACUAUUGGGUGCCCUCGUUCGAUCAUCCUCUCCCUCCGUCCCUCGCAAUGUCUCCAAUCUUCACAUUUGGUUGUUGUUUGGUUGCCCCCGCAUGCUGUUUGGUUGUUGUUUUGUGUGACUAUGCGAAUUGGUUAGUUCUAUUACAUUGUUUUGUGCCGUGUAUUGCUUUGUGUUUUAAAAUGUGAUAGAGAAGAUCCUUGUAAAUUAAACCCCUUGGUUGUGAUGAUGACAAAACUUGGUGGGGAUACAAGAAAUUUGACAGUCAUCCCCUCAAUGGCUAGGUAACCCAAAUGGCUAACAAAUAGUGGCAACCGGUUGUUGCAGCCAUGAGAGGGUGGCCAAAUUUUGUAAAGGUCACCAUUCAGUUUUUGAGCCGGCGAACCCUAAACCCCAAACUUCAUAGUUACGUGUUUAAUAUUUCAAUGUUUUUUUAGCGAUGGAUUCACAAGAUCCUGGACAUGUGUACUUCACCAAUCUCCUAAGUCAAGAUCCUCAACUUGACUUUACUUACGGUGGGCAAAGUGGAAACUCUCCUAUGAUUCUUGAUGACUCUCUACCCCUACCCCAUAACGAUCCUAUCGGCAUUAGGAAAUCAGUUAGGGGUACGAAUUUCACCCCCGAAAGAGACAAGUUACUUGUCUUUGCAUGGCUUAAUUGUAGCCUUGAUGCUAUCUAAGGAACAAACUAAAAACACUUCCAACUUUGAGAAAUUUUUUUUGAAUACUUCCAGAAAUUUAAAGAAACCACAAAUGACCGGACCAUAAAAUCUUUAAUAUAUCGAAGGUCAGUUAUUCAAAAGGCAACAAAAAAAUUUUGUGCGAAAUUAGACCAGGUUGAAGGGUUGAAUCAAAGUAGCAUGACUGAACAAGACAAGUUUGACAAGGUUAAGGUUAUGUACCAAUCGUUAGAGAAAUGCUCCUUUUAGUUCUAGCAUUGUUGGCACCUGUUGAAGGAAUAAUCUAAGUGGAUUUGGCGUUCCACAAAGGAGGAUCCAAAGUGAAGGAAGAUGAUGUCCCCAUCCCCGACCCCAACUCGAUAUUCUAGCAUUACGACUGAUUCAGUUUUUGAUCUCGAUGCGGAUAAUGUGAUAGAGAAUAAAAUGAUCGAAUUGGACCGACCAAUGAGAAGAAAAGUUGAGAAAGGAAAACGUAUAGGAAAAUUUCCAACUCAGGAAGAUGAAGUAUAUUCUUUUGAAGGAUUCAUGCGCUCAGAAGAAAGAGUUUUAUCACCUUAAAGUCGAGAAGAUGGAGUAUGACAAGGAAAAAAGGAAAAAAAAUUACGUUUUGAAGAUGAAAAAAUGAGGUUGGAGGUAGAGAAGAUGGUAAUUGAUAGGAAAAAAGAGCUAAAUAAAAUCCGUCAAUAGGAUGAAAGACUAAGGUUGGAGGCACAUAAAGUAGAGCUGGCGUUAAAGGAAGUAUAUUAACGCAUUAUGAUGAUGGACGUGAGUGCCAUGCUAGAAAUGCAGCGGUUAUAUUUCAAGCAACUCCAGAGGGAAAUCAUGGCGAGACUCAAUGCUGCAGCAGAUUGAACAUUGAUUGAAUAUAUUUUUGGAAAAAAUUGUAUUUCUCAUUUUAUGUUUCGAGUAAUGAUAGAUGUGUAAAAAGUAAUGUAAAUGUUUUUUUGUUGUGGUGUAAAUCGAUAUUUUUGUG